rnacentral:tRNA from 1 species
GAAGCGUCGAAAAACUGACUAAGCGUGUAGAUUCCUCUGGUCUAAACUCUUGGAUGUGGGUUCGAUUCCCACCGCCUCCACCA